GGAGGUUGGUGGAAGGAUGGUCUAAACUGUUGGUUUUCAACCGCUACGACCCGGGUUCGAAUCCCGCAUUUGGCA
rnacentral:tRNA from 1 species